rnacentral:lncRNA from 10 species
CUAAGAUUUCUCCUCUUGUUCAGGAAGUGAGAGCAGAAUGAGACAGAAAAGAUGAAUGCAGCGAGAAAGAAUGAACCUUGUGGUCCUUCUGUUUCACGCUCUUGCACGAUCUUCCCAUGUCUGGGUGACCAAGCUCUUUCUAGCCUGAAUCAGCAUGGAGAACAAGCAGAGGAUGGAUUUCUGCAAGAUGUGAGGACUGCGAUAUUCCCGUUCACGCAUGAACCACAGCUGCGGUCCCUAGAUCCCCUGACCUCUGGAGAAGGCUGCUACCAUUGCACUGACCCAACCUCACCAAGGCAUCAAAGGACAAAAGAAGGAACCAAAACGUGGGUGUCAUUACUGCAAGUCCCAUCGAGGUGCCAGGCAGUGACAAAACCAGAGAAUGUCUCAGGCAGAGAGACACAGAAAACCACAGGUCUGAAUGGCAACCACAUGAAGCCGUGAAGUUUCACUUGAUGAUGCAUAAGAGUAGACAAAGGAGAAGGUGCCCAGAAUUCAUACGUAAUAAACAUGGCCUAUUCCAAAGCUUUCAGUGCUUCCCCCCUAGGUCCUGAUUGGCAUCUCCUUCCAUUCUAAAAAAUAACACACCUACGAAGAUGUACCUGACGUUGACACAGGGAACCCAGAGAUACUGAUUACUACAUGUUCAAUGGUCAGUUGGAGUCUGCAUUUUAUUAGACAAAAUAAUCUAUAUAAGACUCGUUUCUGUGUCUACCUUAAAGGGUAAUGAGGACUUCCAGUUUCAGCUCCAACAAGAAAAGAGCUUGGAAGUCAACGUUUUUGUCCCAAAAAGAACAGAAAGCUGGACAAACCGAAAAGAAACGAUUUUUCUUUGACCCAUUGAUGAGGUGGCAGGGCAAAGCCACACUGAGACCUGGAAAGAUGGGGGCAUCUGGACAGAUAUGGUAACAAAAAUCUGCUUGCCUGGAGCUGAAGCCACAGGAGGCAUAAACUGGCAGGAUCAUUUAGAUGUCUGCUUUGGUGAUUUGCUGGAGUUUGAAAGUGGACUGGUGUGAGAAUGAGCAACUCCAGGGGCUGAAGUCUUAGGAAGAAGCCCACAGCUCUGUGAGUUUCCAGAAACCCCGACAAGUUCUCAUGGCGAGGCUAGAGAGAGAUUUCCUCAUCACUCUGACCAAGAUGAAUCAUUAUGACAUACACCCAGAGCCUUCUCCAGUUCAAAGAGUUUCUCUCCAGGGAAAAGGAUGUACCCAGAGCACCAUUCUGAAACUUGAUCCCAGGCAGAGAAAGGGUCUGCCACUUAAGGCCCCUCCAGUCUUCCUAUAGUACCUAAAAAAGGGUAGAGGUUGGAACAUUGUCAGCCAGGAUCUGGGAUCUGGAUUUCAAGGAAAUGUUUUGGGAAUACUGAAGCCAGGAAAGGGAGUAGGGGGUGGAGGGGUAAACUGUACCAUUGUUUUUUCAUUCUAGAAGUGGAGCAACACUUGCAAAGGUCACAACCCUGAGAAGCAAGGCCACCAAAAUACUGAGAUUUAAUUAGAUUAUAGAAUGGUCCCCCACCCCAACAUGUUACCACCAUACAGUAUGGUAACAUUGGAUAACAAUGGAAAAUGUUGCACGUUGCAAACUCUCUGAGGUGGAGCCCAUAGGGAAGCCCAAAGUCAAAAGGUGAGAUCAAAACAAGCACACUAGAGGAACUGGAAGUUUCUGGUACCUACAGCUGCAACAAACAUUAAACACAGCCCAAAUCCUACUCAGAUUAACAUAAAUCCCCACAUUAAAGGCUGAUUUACCACAGUUCCUAUUGCCCCAUACAAGUCUGACUUUCAACAGAACCAAGUCGCACUAAAAAGAAAGAUAAAACACAGUCUGAAGAGAUAAAACAAGUGUUAGAAAUAGACUCAGAAAUGGCAAUGUUGGUAUUAUCAGACAGAGGAUUUAAAAUAACUAUGAAGCAAGAGCUAUUUUUUGAAGUAGUUAAUACCACUUAAACCUUUGUUUCUCUAAAUUUGAAGAAAACUGCUACUAGAAUUACUGUCUAUUGUGUAAAUUAUAAUAAUUAAAGCAAAAACAUUUGAAGAAAACAUAAUUCAGAGGGCAUAAAACAUUACACAAAGAACCCAGUGAAAGAGUGACAUAUUAAUAAACUGACUGAAACAAAAGCAAAACGGCAAUUAAAGUCAGUGAAGUCAUCUUUUCUUUUUUCUUUUCUUUUCUUUUCUUUUCCCUUUCCUUUCCUUUCCUUUCCUUUUCUUCCCUUCCCUUCCCUUCCCUUCCCUUCCCUUCCCUUCCCUUCCCUUCCCUUCCUUUCCUUUCCUUUCCUUUCCUUUCCUUUCCUUUCCUUUCCUUUCCUUUCCUUUCCUUUCCUUUCCUUUCCUUUCCUUUCCUUUCCUUUCCUUUCCUUUUUUUUAGAGACAUGGUCUCACUCUGUUGCCUAGGCUGGAGUUCAAUAGCACAAUCACAGCUCACUGCAGCCUUGACCUCCUGGCCUCAAGCGAUCCUCCUGCCACAGUUUCCUGAGUAGCUGGGAUCACAGGCACGUACCACCAUACCUGGCUUUUUUAUUUUAUUCUUUUUUGGAGAAGGCUCUUGCUAUGUUUCCCUGGCUGAUCUUGAAGUCCUGGCCUUAAGCUAUCCUCCUGUUGUGGUCUCCCAAUCAACUUUUCUGUUAAAGACAAUUUU